GGGGGGGGCUGCUCACUGGAGAAGAAAGCCCUUUCAAGACCAUUAGAAAACAGAAAAGCAUCACCUUCUCUAGAAAAUUUGCAAACAACUACACACACACACACACACACACACACACACACACACACACACACACACACACACAUAAACUAGAGCCAUAUUCCUACAGUAUAACAGUGCACUCUUUCAUACAUCCUUUCUUUCAUACUCAAACCCCUCACCCGAAUUUACAGGCCAAGAAAAAGAGAAACACAUUCCCUACACCCAGCUUUUAAACACCUGCACCACCUUUACUCAUUUAGGACAGCGCACACACACACACACACACACACACACACACACACUCUUCAGGCCUUUACACAUACAGGGCCACGCAGAUAAACUAUGUGAAAGUGCCAAAAAAAAUCGUAGACGAACUUAACUCAACAUUAAUAUUCACAUUAAACACAACCAAUUAUGCGAGCAUUCCACAAAAAUAAUCACAUUCAACAAGCGAUGAUGAGCUAGUACUUAUUAAAUAAAAUGCUUAUUCUUUUACAAAAUAAAAGGGAAACUCCACAUUUGAAGAGGCUGAGAAGCAAUUUCAGGGAACCGAUCAACCUGGAACAAUGACUAGUAGUGUGUUUGAUGUAAGAUAUGAAUGGAUUAUUACUUCUGGAAAAAAUUUUUGCUGCAAAAGUGAUGGUGGCAUAUUUGUUAACUCACACUUUGGCAAAGCUCUUCAGUCAGGUGACCUUCAUGUCCGAUCUGCUUCCUCUUCCUUCUGCACCUGACCUGGGCCCAGUGAAUUAUGUGGUUGCAGCAGACGAGGCCUUUCCUAUGAAGCCGUUCCAUAUUCGACCCCACCCUGGGCGCCACCGUCAGCAGAAUCUGCAAGUGCUUAAUUGCCGUCUCGCCAGUGCCCACCGGAUGGUGGAGAAAGCCUUAGGGCAUUCUCACCCAUCGCCGGGUGGAGGGUGGACCACAGAAGACUGCAGGUCUACCCUGAAGUUGCUGACGGUGUUGUGAAAGGAACCUGCAUACUGUCCAACUUUCUCCACACACAGCUGACAUAUGACCUGUGAAGAUGUGUGCCGUCACCCCGAACCCUUGCCUAAAGAUGGAUAAGGACAAGGAUGGAGUUUUAAGAGGAAAGUUUCACUAAAAAGUUGCCCGAUGGAUCUUUGGAGAAAACAAAAGUUUUCUGCACAGUUUGCAAAGCCGAAUUUUAAUAACCACAGAAGCAACUCGUCUUUGACAUAUCACCUCAAAGCAAAACACCCUCCUGAGCACUGAUGGUUCUAAUAACAUGGUUGCAGCCACAACAGUACUUCCAUCUGAACACCUACCCCGCAUGGCCCACAGGCAGCAAGAGUACUUCCAUCUGAACACCUACCCCACAUGGCCCACAUCUGAAAACCGACCCCGCAUGGCCCACAGGCAGCAAAGGACAGUCAUGCUUUCCCUUCACCAAAGUGUUCUGGCCAAAUGGCAAGAUUUGCCAAGUGUUCCAGGCAAGAUUAUCGAUCACUUUAAGCACAGUCCAUCAAGCGGUCAGGAAGAGAUCAGCAAGCUACACUUGGACCGAAGCAAGCAUAAUUUGUUCCGGACGUGGAAACUGGAUGGAAUUCUACCCUAGAGAUGGUCAAGCGAGUCCAGUGAAAAAAAUCUCCACUGACUGAUGGAGAUCAUUUCCAAACACUGUUAAUGACUUAAGAAUAUAAUAAUCAAGUGCCUUGUAUUAUUAAUUACCUUAUAUGAAUCAUGUACUUAUGUAAGCAGGAACAUGGCUUUUCUGUGUUUCUGCGUGUGUGUAACUUAGAAUAUUAGGUGCCACUUAGUCUGCAUAUGUACAAGAGCAUGUUUAGACCAGAGGUGAUAAGAAGAGUCGAACUGUGCUUCUUCCGACCUUGCAAAACUUCCAUCCACGGACGUCAGAAGUCCAUCACGUGGUUAUCCCUACUGAACGCUAAACUUCUGUCUAUAUAAACCUUGUGCGAUGUGUUUAAUAUUGCUUCACUUUCAGCCUUGUGCUGGGAGUGAGCCCGAUUGCAAUUGUUGUUUGUCUAAUAAAUAUACUUACAGUAUAUGCAGCUCCGGAGUCCUGAGGUAACUAGGGUGAAUUUUCACCUAUCACUGACCACUACAAUGGCUCAGCAAAACAGCAAAGAAGCAAGACAUUUCUCUUCUGCCGUGUUGACUGCAGAGGAGCUUGCCAAACUGCAAAAGCUGGAGGAAAUAAUUGAACUAUGCAAGUUAAUGUUUCUUUCUUCUUUCUCUCUCUCUCUCUCUCAUGUGCUGUUUUCUCUCUCUCCCUCCCUCGGUCUGUGCUCAGAGAGUUUUGAUAACGGAGUUCAAGGCCCAUUAGGUAUGGUGGACCGGCAGAGAACGCAAGUGCACUGUCUGUGCGUUAUGCUCAGCCACUUCACGCUGCCGCUGUUCCUGCGCACGCCGGGCACUUAGCGGUCUGCGCGGCAUUCAGGCCUUUUUUGUGCGAUGCAUUGUGGAACGUUACCGUUACAGCAAUAAAAAGCAUUCGUCAAAACAAACGCUAACAAACAACAGUAUUUGAAUUUGAAUAUACUUCCUCUGUGUUGAUUCUACAUUAAUUAUGUGCUUUAUAUAAACAUCCAUUAUUACAAGCUUCAGUCUUAAGGGGAAAAAAAUUGCAAAUUAUUCAAUUAAUCAGUUAUUGUUCUUAUUGAUCAACAGCCCUACUUUGCAGACAUAUGUUGAGCCAGCGACUCUAAGAAACUGAACAAAGUGAUAAAAGAAGGCUGGCUCUGUGCAGGGGACUGUUCCGGAGCCCCUAGAGUUGGCUGUGGAGAGAAGGAUGUUGCGCAUGCUGGCCAACACUACACACUCCCUACACAACCUACUGGUCAGACAGCAGUGUUUCAGUUGGAGGCUCCUUCAGCUCCGCUGCAAUAAGGACCAUUACAGGAGGUCAUUCCUGUCCACUGCAACAGCCAUCUACAAUGACUCCCCUCUGUGCCGCGAGAGGAGACGACUCCUCUUAGAGUGGAAAUGCACAAUGCACAUUUUACAUUUCAUUUGCACAUAAUAAUAGCAAUAUCUUGCCUCUAGCGCUGGUGGGUUCUUCAAAAAAGACAACUUGCAAUCAUCAUGUCUUUUGGUUGCAGGCCUUUUAUUUUGAAGCAACAGGCAAGGAAACACUGAUACAUGCUGAGUGAGACAGAAGACAGGUCUAUCUUUGACGCUAACUAACAUAGGGGCUAACACACACAGACUUUAAAUGGCAUAUGACACAGACAGCGUAGCUAACGUUCACACACACGUUGGACACAAAAGGG
ensembl:lncRNA